rnacentral:rRNA from 1 species
UACGGGGGGGGCAAGCGUUGUUCGGAAGUACUGGGCGUAAAGGGCUCGUAGGCGGCCAACUAAGUCAGACGUGAAAUCCCUCGGCUUAACCGGGGAACUGCGUCUGAUACUGGAUGGCUAGAGAUUGGGAGAGGGAUGCGGAAUUCCAGGUGUAGCGGUGAAAUGCGUAGAUAUCUGGAGGAACACCGGUGGCGAAGGCGGCAUCCUGGACCAACACUGACGCUGAGGAGCGAAAGCCAGGGGAGCAAACGGG